rnacentral:rRNA from 1 species
UCGGGAAUUUUGGGCAAUGGGCGAAAGCCUGACCCAGCAACGCCGCGUGCGGGAUGAAGUAUUUCGGUAUGUAAACCUCGAAAGAAUGGGAAGAAUAAAUGACGGUACCAUUUAUAAGCUCCGGCUAACCACGUGCCAGCAGCCGCGGUAAUACGUAGGGAGCAAGCGUUGUUCGGAUUUACUGGGCGUAAAGGGCGCGUAGGCGGCGCGGUAAGUCACUUGUGAAAUCUCUGAGCUUAACUCAGAACAGCCAAGUGAUACUGCUGGGCUAGAGUGCGGAAGAGGCAACCGGAAUUCUCGGUGUGGCGGUGAUAUGCGUAGAUAUCAAGAGGAACACCUGAGGCGAAGGCGGGUUGCUGGGCCGACACUGACGCUGAUGCGCGAAAGCCAGGG